rnacentral:rRNA from 1 species
AUUGAACGCUGGCGGCAGGCCUAACACAUGCAAGUCGAGCGAGCGGCGGACGGGUGAGUAAGGUAUGGGGAUCUGCGCGAUAGACGGGGAUAACGACUGUAAACGGUGGCUAAUAGUGCAAACUACCGGUUGAACCCAUGUGGGAUUAGCUAGUAGGGGGGGUAAAGGCUCACCUAGGCGACGAUGCCUAGCUGGUCUGAGAGGAUGAUCAGCCACACUGGGACUGAGACACGGCCCAGACUCCUACGGGAGGCAGCAGUGGGUAAUAUUGCACAAUGGGCGCAAGCCUGAUGCAGCCAUGCCGCGUGUAUGAAGAAGGCCUUAGGGUUGUAAAGUACUUUCAGCGGGGAGGCGUUACCCGCAGAAGAAGCACCGGCUAACUCCGUGCCAGCAGCCGCGGUAAUUC